rnacentral:rRNA from 1 species
UACCAUGCAGUCGACGCUGAAGCUGGGUGCUUGCACCUGGUGGAUGAGUGGCGAACGGGUGAGUAAUACGUGAGUGACCUUCCUUGGACUCUGGGAUAAGCCCGGGAAACUGGGUCUAAUACCGGAUACGACCAGUCCUCGCAUGGGGUGCUGGUGGAAAGGGUUUGUACUGGUUCUUGAUGGGCUCACGUCCUAUCAGCUUGUUGGUGAGGUAAUGGCUUACCAAGGCGACGACGGGUAGCCGGCCUGAGAGGGUGACCGGCCACACUGGGACUGAGACACGGCCCAGACUCCUACGGGAGGCAGCAGUGGGGAAUAUUGCACAAUGGGCGCAAGCCUGAUGCAGCGACGCCGCGUGGGGGAUGACGGCCUUCGGGUUGUAAACCUCUUUCAGCAGGGAAGAAGCGAAAGUGACGGUACCUGCAGAAGAAGCGCCGGCUAACUACGUGCCAGCAGCCGCGGUAAUACGUAGGGCGCAAGCGUUGUCCGGAAUUAUUGGGCGUAAAGAGCUCGUAGGCGGUUUGUCGCGUCUGCUGUGAAAGCCCGGGGCUCAACCCCGGGUGUGCAGUGGGUACGGGCAGGCUGGAGUGCAGUAGGGGAGACUGGAAUUCCUGGUGUAGCGGUGAAAUGCGCAGAUAUCAGGAGGAACACCGAUGGCGAAGGCAGGUCUCUGGGCUGUUACUGACGCUGAGGAGCGAAAGCAUGGGGAGCGAACAGGAUUAGAUACCCUGGUAGUCCAUGCCGUAAACGUUGGGCACUAGGUGUGGGGGACAUUCCACGUUUUCCG